rnacentral:rRNA from 1 species
CAGUCGCCACGGUAAUACGAGGGGGGCAAGCGUUGUUCGGAAUUAUUGGGCGUAAAGGGUGCGUAGGCGGCUUGACAAGUCUUGUGUGAAAUCUAUGGGCUCAACCCAUAGUCUGCACGGGAAACUGUCGGGCUUGAGAAUGGGAGAGGUGAGUGGAAUUUCCGGUGUAGCGGUGAAAUGCGUAGAUAUCGGAAGGAACACCUGUGGCGAAAGCGGCUCACUGGACCAUUUCUGACGCUGAUGCACGAAAGCUAGGGGAGCAAACAGGAUUAGAUACCCCCGUAGUCCCUGUCUCUUAUAC